rnacentral:misc_RNA from 1 species
UUAAGACUAAACCUACCGACACUUCGUGUAUACGUAUUCCUACCGUGUGCGGUAAAGAUGAUCGGUGAUUAAAGAAGUAAUAGUUUUUAUGAUUUCACUUAGAUAAUGGUUAAUUUAUAACUAAAUGUAUAUAAAAUGAUGAACUUUCAUAUAAUUUCGUCCAAAUGUACUUUUGAUAAGAUAAAAGAAGUUUCAUAGGAUGUGAAUAACGAGGUAGAUUGAUACAGGUGUUCUGUAGAUUUAUUGGACUCUAAAUCCGAUACUCGUUUUCCAUUGAAGUCCUCUUUUUUCCAGUCUUUUAGUCUUUGUAUCUUUUCUCUCAUUCUCCCUCCUUCUUCA